AUGGGGAACGUACUGACCUGUUGUGUGUGCCCCAAGGACAGCCCCGAGUUUGACCAGCCGCAGGGGUCAGUGUGCCCCUCUGAGUCCGACAUCUAUGAGGCAGGAGCUGGGGACAGGAUGGCAGGAGCUGGGAACAGGAUGGCAGGAGCUGGGGAUGGGAUGGCAGGGGCGCCUAUGGCUGCUGCUGUGCAGCCUGCUGAGGUGACUGUUGAAGUUGGUGAGGACCUCCACAUGCACCACAUCCAUGACCGGGAGAUGCCUGAAGCUUUGGAGUUUAACCCUUCUGCCAAUCCAGAGGCAAGCACAAUAUUCCAUGGGAACUGUCAAACAGAUGCUUUGGAGUUUAACCCUUCUGCCAAUGCAGAGGCAAGCACAAUAUUCCAGAGGAACUCUCAAACAGAUGUUAUAGAAAUAAGAAGAAGCAACUAUACAAACCACGUAUCUACUGUGCGUUUCAGUCAACAAUACAGCUCAUGUUCAACAAUAUUCCUUGAUGACAACACAGCCAGCCAGUCUUAUCUUACAAUGACAAUAAUAUCAGUGACCUUGGAGAUACAUCAUGAUAUCACGCAAAGGUGAGCUUUUUAGAAACCUGUCUUGUUAUUCUGGCUAAUUACUUUGCAAGAUAUCAAGCUCAGUGUUAGGUCACAGCUGUAGACAUCGUAAGCUGUAUUGUGCCUGCUAAAAUAUCGAAGCAAAUUAUUUGUGUUUUCUUUGUUCCUUAAGACUCUUAAUUCUUAAAUGAUUGAGCAUCUCAAAGAGUAUGUGUUUAUGUUGAUUAUAUUAAUAUUGACUGUGGUAGAAAUAGAAUACUGAGAUUUUUUUUUCAAAAUCUAUUUUUAGUUUAGAUUUCACAGCCUUACCAUUGUUGAUAUUAUGAGCUAGAUAACGCUUUGUUGUGAGGCCUGUCCCGUGCAUUGCAGAGAGUUUAGCAGCUUUCAUGGCCUCUACCAACUAGAUGUCAGUAGUAACCCUGACCCAGGUUGUAAUACCAGAAAAUAUUCCUUGGGAACAAUAUUUUUAACAGAAAUUUUUCACUGAAAAAUAACUUUUCUACAAUAAAAAGUUGAGUAAAAAGUGUGUCAUGUAUUUAUAUUAUUUAAAGUCUCUCAUGUUGAGCUUAAUAGGAGACAACUGGAUUCUCUAGAUCUUUCUUUCUAACUUGCUUUUAAAAAGCAAUAAGAGGCUGGGCGCAGUGGCUCACUCCUGUAAUCCCAGCACUUUAGGAGGCUGAAGCGGGCAGAUCACAAGGUCAGGAGAUCGAGGCCAUCCUGGGUAACAUGGAGAAACGCCGUCUCUACUAAAAAUACAAAAACGUAGCCAGGCGUGGUGGCACGCACUGUAGUCCCAGCUAUUCUGGAGGCUGAGGCAGGAGAACAACUUGAACCUGGGAGGUGGAGGUUGCAGUGAGCUGAGAUCACGUCACUGCACUCCAGCCUGGGUGAUAGCAAGACUCCGUCUCAAAAAAAAAAAAGCAAUAAGAUGGCCGGGUGCAGUGGUUCACACCUGUAAUCUCAGCACUUUGGGAGGCCAAGGUGGGUGGAUCACUUGAGGUCAGGAGUUUGAGAGCAGCCCCACUAACAUGGUGAAACCCGCCUCUACUGAAAGUACAAAAAAUGACUGGGCAUGGUGGUGCUUGCCUGUAGUCCCAGCUACUGGGAUGCUGAGACCGGAGAAUCACUUGAACCUGGGAGGCGGAGGUUGCAGUGAGCCGAGAUCUCCCCAUUGCACUCCAGGCUGAGUGACAGAGGGACUCUGUCUCAAAAAAAGAAAAAAAAGAAUCAGUAAGAUGACCUAACCUCAUGCAAAUAUGUAGUUGGUAAAAGGUGUAUUUUUAAAGUUUUCAGACAGUUGUGGGUAUUCUUUAAUACUAAAUCAAAACUUCACAAGUGCUAGUUUCUUAAAUUAGUUACAGUGGCAUUUUCCAUGUUAAUAAAUUUAUUCCAUCAGUACUCCUUGAUCUUUCUUGCACAGUAAAUGGAUCUUUCCUCCCAUACUUGCAUUUCUAAUGUUAUGCAUUAGUUACUUGGAAUAUAUUGGUUUAUGUUUUAUUAUGUCAAAAAUCACUUUUAAUUUAACCACCAAUCUUACUUUAAAACACCUUUAAGUAUUGAAAAGCUGUCAAGCCUAGUAGCAGGAAGAAGUUUUUCAAAGUCCUCAGGAAAGCUUACAUUUUAUCGUUGGGAACAAAUACUUAUUUUCCUUGAAGGGACAACCUCUCCAUUUAUUUUUGAGAAUGAUAGUUGUACUUCUUUUUUUUAGACUGAGUCUCACUCUGUCACUUGGCUGGAGGGAUUUGGUAUGAUCUCAGCUCCAGCAAUCCUCUCACCUCAGACUCCUGUGUAGCUGGGACCACAGAUGUGUGGCACCACGCCAGGCUAAUUUUCUUGUAUUUUUGGUAGAGACAGGGUUUUUUUUAUGUUGCCUAGGCUGGUCUUGAACUGCUGAAGGAGCUCAAGCCAUCUGCCAGCUUUGGCCUCCCAAAGUGCUGGGAUUUUACAGGCAUGAGCCACUACGCUGGCCCAGUUUUACUUUUAAAUAAAAACGAUGUUCUGUGAAAAAAUUGGUUGUUCAGUUCACAAUUAAAUCCCGAAUUCCUUUUUUUUUAAAACAACAUCACCACCAACAACAACAACCGUACUGCAGUCAGCAGAAGCGCUUCUUAUUAACUUUUCACUUAUUCAGAAUAUUAAGGAGACAUGUCAAGAUUUAGUAACAUUAAUUUUUACUGCUUCAUCAAAGACAUUCUUAAGUAAUUCAGGCUAUCUUUUUUAACUGCAGGGGACAGUAAAGAAUAGAGUGACUGAUGUAAUUGGUACCACUGCCUUGAUUUAUGCUGAGAAACCAGCAGUUUUACCCAUUUUUACUUUUAUACAAUCAUGACAAGUGUCAACGAAAAAGCAGGCAAUGACGUUGUAUUACUUUUACAAAUUUUUAAAUUUUUUAAUCAGCUUUCUCAGUUUUAAUUCAUAUGAUUCAGAACAGUGUUGACCAGGCACAGUGGCUCAGGCCUGUAAUCCCAGCACUUUGAAAGUCUGAGGCGAGCAGAUCACCUGAGGUCAGGAGUUCAAUACCAGCCUGGCCAACAUGGUGAAACCACAUCUCUACUAAAACUAUAAAAAUUAGCCAGGCGUGGUGGCGGGCACCUGUAAUCCCUGAUACUCAGGAGGCUGAGGUAGGAGAAUCACUUGAACCCGGGAGGCAGAUGUUGCCGUGAGCCGAGAUCGCGCCAUUGCACUCCGGCCUGGGCAACAAGAGUGAAACUAGGUCUCAAAAAAAAAAAAAAAAAAAAAAAAAAAAAAAAAAAAAAAAAAAAAACCGUUGGCCUCUUCUGGAAAGGGUCUUGGGGAUCCUGAGAGGUCCACAGAGCACAUUUGGAGAACCACUGGUUUAUCACACAGGCACAAUGCAUUAGUUUUAGUUUUUACAAAGUUUAAAGUUCAUCAAAGACUGGCCUCUUAAAAAGGCAGAUGAGUUUUUAAUUCAAACAACAGAAAAUACAUAAAUACAUCAUGAGACUAUACUACAGAGAACUAAAGAGAAAGGAAGCUAGAAAAUCUGAAUCACGUUUACAUUUAUUAAAGUUCAUCACUACUGCUUUGUAAAACAUUCUUGUGUUUCAGUGUGUGGUUAGAAGAGUGAAAAUAUAUUUGGUUUAUUGCCAUCGCCUGCUAGGGAGAGUCAAUACUUAUGGGCACUUCUGACUGGUUAUCAUGUAAAAGACUUCACAGUACAGGACAUGAAAUGCUGAGAAAGAAGUAGUCAAGAAACCCUCUGCAAGUCAGGAUCCAGGAGAAGAUUUCGUAAAAACUGCUUUGGUAAACACCAAAGCACACAGGAGGCAGUAUUUUACUAAACAGGUAUUAUACUAAGAUAUUAACAGUUUUUGAAGUAAUGCACACUCUUAUUUUAUAGAGAUGCAGAUGGAUCUUUGAGCGUAUGUGAUGAAGAGUUAUACUCAUUUAUGGUAAGUGGCACUUUUAUUGAGAUUGUAUUUUCAUCAUACACUUGUAUCUGUUUCAUGCUGAAGUCAAAGGCAUCUUUUUAAAAAUCUUCCCCGUUUCAUGUCACAUUUAGUCAUCUUAAGUGUUGUAAAAAGAAUGUGCUGGAAUAAGAACUGAUCUGCAGCUGUGUUUAGUUAGUGAGCUAGUAUGAGUAAAUAUACUACCCAAAUAACAGAAAAUGUAUCUUUUUUUUUUUUUUUGAGGUGGAGUCUCUCUCUGUAGCCCAGGCUGGAGUGCAAUCAUGUGAUCUUGGCUCACUGCAGGCUCUGCCUCCCAGGUCCCUGUUCAAGCAGAAACCUGAACCAAGUGAACAAGUUCAACAUCAUCAGUAAGAAGAACUAUCAGUGCCAUAACUCUGAUGGAAUGCACGGGGAAGGAUUCCACAUCAUUUUUGUACUGUAAUGGCCAAAGGUGCAUAACUUCAGUCCAAUCAUGGAAAUACAUCAGACAAACCCAAAUCGAGGAACAUUUGACAAAUACUGAUCAGUACUGGUUCAAAGUGUCACGGUUAGGAAAGAUAAGCAAAGACUGAGGAACUGUCACUGCAGUCCUACAAAAUGGCAAGAGACUAAGAAAUAACUAAAUGCCCCGUGAUCCUGGGUUGCAUUUGGGAACAGAAAAAGGACAUUAGUGGAAAAAGUGGUGAAACUCCAGUAAGGACUUUAGCUAAUAUGUUCAUUUUAAAUUAAAUAAUUUAAAUAUAUUUAAACAUUAUUUAAAUGUAUUUAAUUAAUAAAAUUGGUUAUUUUAUGAAAUAAUUUUAAUAUAAUUAAAUAUGAGAAUGUGGAUUUCCUUGUUCUGAUCACCAUACUGUGGUUAUCUAAGAGGUGAACGUUCAGGGAGGCUGGGGGAGGAAUAAAUGGAAAUUAUACUAUUGAGUUGGAAGAGAGAAACCUACCCCAUCAGUCACAAAACCCUCACAUUCACGGCAGUGUGUCGGAGGUUCCAAUAUGAAUGGGAUUUCAUUGUCAGCAUGAGGUCCCUGUGGAGGGAGUGGGGCUCCCUGGGAAUCUAGUGGAGAGCAUUCGGGGCUCCCUUCCUCAGGAGCCUGCCCUUCCUGCACAGAAGCAUCAGCCUCACCUCUGUAGCGCUGUCCCUCUGCCUCUCAGAACCCAC
rnacentral:lncRNA from 10 species